rnacentral:rRNA from 1 species
GACGGACGGUGCAAGCGUUGCUCGGAAUCACUGGGCGUAAAGGGUGCGUAGGCGGCUUGGUAGGUCUGGUGUGAAAGCCCCGGGCUCAGCCCGGGAAGGGCACUAGAAACUGCCAAGCUAGAGUGCCGGAGGGGAGAGUGGAAUUCCUGGUGUAGCGGUGAAAUGCGUAGAGAUCAGGAGGAAUACCGGUGGCGAAAGCGACUCUCUGGACGGCAACUGACGCUGAGGCACGAAAGCGUGGGGAGCAAACAGG